GGAAAUGGGUCGCUCACAGACAAUCAGUGUGGUCACUCUGUUCUUCAAUGAUCUGAAUAUGGAGAAGGAGUACCGCUUCUCCAAGAUGAAGAACCUGUUCGUCUCCUUGAUCUGCACCAUCCUCAUCUUCACAGCCGUCUUCAUCAUCCAGAUGCUGGUGUCCGACAAGAACGCGGCUCUGGGUGUGUCGUAUGGAGUCACGUUCUUUGUCCUGGCUCUGAUACUGCUAGUCUGCUGCACCGGACUGCUGGAG